rnacentral:rRNA from 1 species
CGAACGGGUGAGUAAUGCGUGACCAACCUGCCCCAUGCUCCAGAAUAGCUCUUGGAAACGGGUGGUAAUGCUGGAUGCUCCAACUUGACGCAUGUCUUGUUGGGAAGUGUUUAGUGGCAUGGGAUGGGGUCGCGUCCUAUCAGCUUGUAGGCGGGGUAAUGGCCCACCUAGGCUUCGACGGGUAGCCGGCCUGAGAGGGCGGACGGCCACAUUGGGACUGAGAUACGGCCCAGACUCCUACGGGAGGCAGCAGUU